UACGGGGGGGAGCAAGCGUUGUUCGGAUUUACUGGGCGUAAAGGGCGGGUAGGCGGCCACCGCAAGUCGACUGUGAAAUCUCCGGGCUUAACCCGGAAAGGUCAGCCGAUACUGCGGGGCUAGAGUGCAGAAGGGGCAACUGGAAUUCUCGGUGUAGCGGUGAAAUGCGUAGAUAUCUGGAGGAACACCGGUGGCGAAGGCGGCAUCCUGGACCAACACUGACGCUGAUGAGCGAAAGCCAGGGGAGCAAACGGG
rnacentral:rRNA from 1 species